GCUCCCCGCCACCCCUGCCGCCCGCGGGCCACCGGGCCGGGGUCGACGCCCGGGCUCGGUCAGUCGGUACCUUCAUGAAGGUCUCUACCGCGCCUUUGGCCGUGUCCAGCCUCUCCCCAGCUUCCACAAAUAUGCAUCUCUACCUGCACCACAGUCUCGGGUAUACUCUGCCCUUCCCGGCUGUGGAUUGUCUGACCAGCUGUGUCUAAUUCACCAAUUCCAGAUGGAUGCUCUCUGAUUUAGUUGCUUCUUCUAUCUGCUCUGGGACAAGGUGCAGGACACGCUCACCAUUUUCCUUAAUUGC